rnacentral:rRNA from 1 species
AUUGAACGCUGGCGGCAGGCCUAACACCUGCAAGUCGAACGAGUGGCGGACGGGUGAGUAAUGUAUGGGGAUCUGCCCGAUAGAGGGGGAUAACUACUGGAAACGGUGGCUAAUACCGCAUACUAUCGGAUGAACCCAUAUGGGAUUAGUUAGUUGGUGGGGUAAAGGCUCACCAAGGCGACGAUCUAUAGCUGGUCUGAGAGGAUGACCAGCCACACUGGGACUGAGACACGGCCCAGACUCCUAAGGGAGGCAGCAGUGGGGAAUAGUGCACAAUGGGGGAAAGCCUGAUGCAGCCAUGCCGCGUGUAGGAAGAAGGCCGUAGGGUUGUAAAGUAAUUUCAGCAGAGAGGCGUUACCCGCAGAAGAAGCACCGGCUAACUCCGUGCCAGCAGCCGCGGUAAUAC